rnacentral:rRNA from 1 species
CCUACGGGUGGCUGCAGUGGGGAAUAUUGGACAAUGGGGGGAACCCUGAUCCAGCCAUGCCGCGUGUGUGAAGAAGGCCCUCGGGUUGUAAAGCACUUUCAGUGAGGAAGAACGCCUGGUGGUUAAUACCCAUCAGGAAAGACAUCACUCACAGAAGAAGCACCGGCUAACUCCGUGCCAGCAGCCGCGGUAAUACGGAGGGUGCGAGCGUUAAUCGGAAUUACUGGGCGUAAAGCGCGCGUAGGUGGCUUGAUAAGCCGGUUGUGAAAGCCCCGGGCUCAACCUGGGAACGGCAUCCGGAACUGUCAAGCUAGAGUGCAGGAGAGGAAGGUAGAAUUCCCGGUGUAGCGGUGAAAUGCGUAGAGAUCGGGAGGAAUACCAGUGGCGAGGCGGCCUUCUGGACUGACACUGACACUGAGGUGCGAAAGCGUGGGUAGCAAACAGGAUUAGAUACCCGGGUAGUC